AAUGAACGUUGGCGGCGUGGAUUAGGCAUGCAAGUCGAGCGAGAACCCAGCAAUGGGGGACAGCGGCGUAAGGGACAGUAAUGUGUAGAUUAUCUGCCCUCGGGACCGGGAUAGCUGCGGGAAACUGCAGGUAAUACCGGAUAACAUCUCCGGAUCACAGGUGUGAUUCCGCCCGAGGAUGAGUCUGCAUCCUAUUAGCUAGUUGGCAGGGUAAUGGCCUACCAAGGCUUUGAUGGGUAGCGGGGGUGAGAGCACGACCCGCGUCAUUGGGACUGAGACACUGCCCAGACACCGACAGGUGGCUGCAGUCGAGAAUCUUCGGCAAUGGGCGCAAGCCUGACCGAGCGACGCCGCGUGUGGGAUGAAGGCCUUCGGGUUGUAAACCACUGUUAGAGGGGAUGAAAUGCAGGUGGGUUCUCCCAUCCGUUUGACAUAGCCUCAGAGGAAGGACGGGCUAAGUUCGUGCCAGCAGCCGCCGUAA
rnacentral:rRNA from 1 species